rnacentral:misc_RNA from 1 species
ACUAGUAUAAUCAUAAUCACUGAUUUGGGGCUGGUGGAGUGGAUUUUCAUCAGCAAUUUGUUUCAUCAAGUCCUCAAGAUCAUUUAAUGGUUGCUCCACUUGAGCAACAGCCUUUAUGGUAUCAACUGGUGCAAUGACAACAAUAGGCUGCUUAACAGGAGUAUCAGAGUUAUUCACAACCGCAUAUUCAUCAUCAGCCCAGUCUUCUUCCUUAAAUGGUGCUCCAUACUGCUCACCAUUCUUAGGACCAGGUCCACUUUUCUUGUAAACCUUGUAGAGUGCAUAAUAAUCCUGGACAUUUUGGCAUCUUUUGAGUUCCUCUUCAUCCAAAGUAUAUUCAUGCAUCACCCAGUCAGUUCUCUCACCAUUAGGAGCCCGGCCUC